rnacentral:tRNA from 1 species
GGAAGAUGAACGUGCCCGGUGGCGCGGCUGGACUUCAAAUCCAGGUGGGGGCUUAAUAAGUCCCCGGAGGGUUCGACCCCCUUCAUCUUCC